GAUGAACGCUAGCGAUAGGCUUAGCACAUGCAAGUCGAGGGGCAGCACAAGGUAGCUUGCUAUCUGGGUGGCGACCGGCGCACGGGUGCGUAACGCGUAUGCAACUUGCCCUAUACAGGAGGAUAACCCGUCGAAAGACGGACUAAUACUGCGUAUGCUCACAACUUGGCAUCAAGUGGUGAGGAAAGAAAUUCGGUAUAGGAUAGGCAUGCGUCCCAUUAGCUUGUUGGUGAGGUAACGGCUCACCAAGGCAACGAUGGGUAGGGGAACUGAGAGGUUUAUCCCCCACACUGGUACUGAGACACGGACCAGACUCCUACGGGAGGCAGCAGUGAGGAAUAUUGGUCAAUGGGCGCGAGCCUGAACCAGCCAAGUCGCGUGAAGGAUGACUGUCUUAUGGAUUGUAAACUUCUUUUAUACGGGAAUAACAAGAGUCACGGGUGACUCCCUGCAUGUACCGUAUGAAUAAGCAUCGGCUAACUCCGUG
rnacentral:rRNA from 1 species